rnacentral:rRNA from 1 species
CCUACGGGAGGCAGCAGUGGGGAAUAUUGCACAAUGGGGGAAACCCUGAUGCAGCGACGCCGCGUGAGUGAAGAAGUAUUUCGGUAUGUAAAGCGCUAUCAGCAGGAACGAGACAAGACGGUACCUGACUAAGAAGCCGCGGCUCACUACGGGCCAGCAGCCGCGGUAGUACGUAGGGGGCAAGCGUUAUCCGGAAUCACGGGGGUGAAAGGGAGCGUAGACGGCUGUGCAAGCCUGAAGUGAAAGGCGGGGGGCCACACCCUGGACUGCUUUUGGAACUGUACUGCUGGAGUGCAGGAGAGGUAAGUGGAAAUCCUAGGGUAGCGGUUAAAUGCGGAUAUAUUUGGAGGCACCCCAGUGGCGGAGGCGGCUUACCGGACUGUAACCGACGUUGAGGCCCCAAAGCGUGGGGAGCAAACAGGAUUAGAUACCCGGGUAGUC